GACGAACGCUGGCGGCGUGCUUAACACAUGCAGGUCGAACGAUGAAGCCGGAGCUUGCUCCGGUGGAUUAGUGGCGAACGGGUGAGUAACACGUGAGCAAUCUGCCCUUGACUCUGGGAUAACUGCGGGAAACUGUAGCUAAUACCGGAUACGACACCUUGGGGCAUCCCAGGGUGUGGAAAGAAUUUCGGUCAAGGAUGAGCUCGCGGCCUAUCAGCUAGUUGGUGAGGUAAUGGCUCACCAAGGCGACGACGGGUAGCCGGCCUGAGAGGGUGACCGGCCACACUGGAACUGAGACACGGUCCAGACUCCUACGGGAGGCAGCAGUGGGGAAUAUUGCACAAUGGGCGAAAGCCUGAUGCAGCAACGCCGCGUGAGGGAUGAAGGCCUUCGGGUUGUAAACCUCUUUUAGCAGGGAAGAAGCGAAAGUGACGGUACCUGCAGAAAAAGCACCGGCUAACUACGUGCCAGCCGCCGCGGUAA
rnacentral:rRNA from 1 species